CUGGUUUUCUUUCCUAAGAGUUAUUGUUUCUGGCAACAACCACACUCCAGCAGGCUCGGGCCUGAGCUGAUGAAUGGGACAACCUGAUGACCACCACAAAGUUGCGUCUGCUCCUAUCCAGCUAAUCCGAGGGCUCUCAGACAGACUGUGACUAAUGGGGACAUCUGAGGGCAGAACAUUCGAAGGCCAGGGAGGAACAAGUCCAGACAAAGUGUGAGCACACACAUCUGGAGGGCUGGGGAGCCCAUGUCACAUUCCUGGCUGGACUAUGGACUCCAGGAGGAAGGCUUCAGGUUGGGCUUGCUCAGGCUGAGGCAGUUUGGGAGAGUGGGAGUGCAGGGGACUUGGGCAUCUGAAUACCCGGGUUUGAAUUCCACAUCUGUUGCUUUUUGGCUCUGAGAGCUCUGGCAAGUUAUGUAGCCUCCCUGGGCCUUGGUUUCUGCUUCUUUAAAAUGGGGUUAACAAAGAAGAUUGGUGUAAGAAUCACAUAUAAAGGUGCUGUCAAGAAAUCUGGUUGAAGGCUGGGCGUGGUGGCUCAAGCCUGUAAUCUCAGCACCUUGGGAGGCUGAGGUGGGAGGAUCACUUGAGGCCAGGGCUUCAAGAAGAGCUUCGGCAAGACUGUAGCUAUAGCCAUAGCAAGAAUCUGUCUCUAUUUAAAAAAGAAGAAGAAGAAAAAAGGAAUGGAAAUAAAUUAAUUAAAUGGAA
rnacentral:lncRNA from 1 species